CUUGGUGAUUUAGAUAGAGGACUUCAAAAGCUGAAGAACAGCAGACCCUUGGCUUUAGUCACUGGCCCAUGGGACACCAAUGGAUGUGGCUCUUGUACAGAGCUGAUCUGCUUGAGUCCAGGAUACAUGAGUAUUAACUUGAAGAAGCCUUCUAUGCCCCACCAAAAGCCAAGGUGCCUCCAAGGAAGAUUUUACAAAAUCAGAAGCAAUAGAAAGGGAGGAAGAAAAAUAACUCCAGGAUGAUUUUAGAUGAGCAGUUAUUAAUGCUGAAAAUUCCUUUAUUAACCCCUCCAAACCUGCUCUGCAGGGAGGGGAAACUUCUAAAGAUAACUGAAAUACAUUAAAGGGACAAACUCCACAGUUUGUGUGGAAAGCUGUGACACGUCAGAUAAAUCCCUAUGGACUAUCUGCAUGUUUACACUGCUUUUAUGUGAAGUAAGUGGACUGUCCCCCACAGAGCAGCUCUGCUUUCUAGGAGUGCUGAAUCUGGAGCUGAGUGACUCAGUCUGAAAGCUGGAUCAGUUUUAUGUGUCCUCUAAUCCCCCUCAGACUACUUGUGUCCAUGAAGACUACUGCUUCGUUAAUGCAGAAGCCAAGAACAUGUAUGUUCCAGCCAUGCUGUUUCAUUCACAGUCUCCUACCCGCUGCUUUGACAGCACUGCUAGAACCUUAGAGCUAAGGAGAGCUUCAGUUUUUGCUUUUGGUAAGU